rnacentral:rRNA from 1 species
AACGAACGCUGGCGGCAUGCCUAACACAUGCAAGUCGAACGAGACCUUCGGGUCUAGUGGCGCACGGGUGCGUAACGCGUGGGAACCUGCCCUUAGGUUCGGAAUAACUCCCCGAAAGGGGUGCUAAUACCGGAUAAUGUCUUCGGACCAAAGAUUUAUCGCCUUUGGAUGGGCCUGCGUUGGAUUAGCUAGUUGGUAGGGUAAAAGCCUACCAAGGCGACGAUCCAUAGCUGGUCUGAGAGGAUGAUCAGCCACACUGGGACUGAGACACGGCCCAGACUCCUACGGGAGGCAGCAGUGGGGAAUAUUGGACAAUGGGCGAAAGCCUGAUCCAGCAAUGGCGCGUGAGUGAUGAAGGGCUUAGGGUUGUAAAGCUCUUUUACCCGGGAUGAUAAUGACAGUACCGGGAGAAUAAGCUCCGGCUAACUCCGUG